GCACCGGUGGUGUAAUGGCGUAGAGCAUUCCCGCCCGGUCAGAGGGAGGUGCGGGUUCGAGUCCCGCCUGGCGCU
rfam:Heligmosomoides polygyrus genome assembly, scaffold: HPBE_contig0000633